rnacentral:lncRNA from 10 species
ACAGGUCCCAGAUAAUAAUUAGGAAAACAAAUCAGGACCGAAACUCCAGAGAGUCAGAAAAGGAUAAGGGACCGAUGGCUGAAAGCUUGGGAAUCCUUGCAUCAUCCACAACUGGCUUACGACAAGAAAUCAAACAAGCGCAGUUUAAUAUGUCUUCCCAGUCAAUUCACAGAUAUUGCUGAGUGGAUGGGGUUGAGUCUGAAAUUGGCUGACCAUGGAACACCUAACCCGAAAAUAUGCAUAUCCCUUUCAGAGGGCAAAAAGGAGGAAGCAAGAACACAGAGGCACACAGGGAAGACCAGGUGAAGGCACAAGGAGAAGAUGAGCAUCUUCAAGCCAAGACAAGAGAUCUCAGAAGAAAACUGCCCUGCCAACUCCUUGAUCUCAGAUUUACAAUGCCCAGAGCUGGGAGAAAAUAAAUUUCUGUUGU